rnacentral:rRNA from 1 species
GAACGAGAAAGUGGGGCAACCCAUGAGUACAGUGGCGUACGGGUGAGUAACACGUGGAUGAUCUACCUUCUGGUGAGGAAUAACCCUGGGAAACCGGGGCUAAUACCGCAUAAGCUCGAGAGAGGAAAGUCGCAAGACGCUGGAAGAGGAGUCCGCGGCCGAUUAGCUAGUUGGCAGGGUAAAAGCCUACCAAGGCAAAGAUCGGUAGCCGGCCUGAGAGGGCACACGGCCACACUGGCACUGAAACACGGGCCAGACUCCUACGGGAGGCAGCAGUGGGGAAUCUUGCACAAUGGGGGAAACCCUGAUGCAGCGACGCCGCGUGAGCGAUGAAGCCCUUCGGGGUGUAAAGCUCUUUCGGCAGGGACGAUAAUGACGGUACCUGCAGAAGCAGCUGCGGCUAACUACGUGCCAGCAGCCGCGGUAAUACGUAGGCAGCAAGCGUUGUUCGGAGUUACUGGGCGUAAAGGGUGUGUACGCGGUUGCUUGAGUUUGGUGUGAAAUCUCCCG